rnacentral:lncRNA from 1 species
GUGUUUGUUUCCUUUCUUGCCCUGCUCACUCUGGGCUGUGGUGGCUUUUGCUGCAGCAGCUCUCAACCUGCCUGAGUCCCAACAGCUCGACACUUUAAUAAUUUAAGUGAUUUACAUUCCCCAAAGUGCAUCUGAACAGAUUUAUUAUGAGCGUUUGCGACCUGUUCCUCUGAAGCACUUCUCUGACGUCUGUUCUUCGCUGGAGUUCACCACCCAAGGCAGUUCACAGUGGUAAUUGGGAGAUCAAUUUGACCUGUGUUACAGUGUCCAUCCUUUGGGGAUACAGAAGAAAUCACUCCAGCAUUAUUCAACAACCUGGGCAGCACAUGGACUUCUGAUCAGAGUGAGUGUCUCUUUUUUUUAUCUCUCCCAAGAUUUUCUGAGGAAUG